rnacentral:piRNA from 1 species
UUCCUCCAAGAAAAGUGGUGAAAUGGAAGU